GGAUACUCUGGGUGAUCACCAUCUCCAGAUUCUGUCCAAGUGACGUACAGGAGCAUAGGGCUCCAUGCCAUGUCAUACAGUCCCUUUCUAGAUGAGCUUUGUGUCUGCAUCUGCAUAUUUUGAGGAUCCUGUGGGACAAUGUUAGAGGAUACAAAUCAUGUAGGAAACAUGU
rnacentral:snoRNA from 1 species